AACAAAUAUAAGAUUUACUUAUAAAAACUGUGCUGUGUUGUGUGUCCUAGUGAUAUACCGUGUGCACCAAAACCUUUAAGUUAUAAUGGGUAACAAGCAAUUGAAUAAAAAGAAGACAUCUCGAAAAAGACAACUCGGAAGAUUCCAACAAACAAUGGAACUAACGAAAAGAAGAAAAUUGGAUAAUUUCACAGCCGAACAUGAUACUACAUCUUUAGACUACAUCGAACUGCAAAAUAUGGAAAUGGAAUCUCCGAUUUCAUCAACCACUGACAUUCAAAGUAACGAGUAAGUUCUAAUUCUAAUUGUGGC